AUUCAACUGACGAAUCCGAAAUAGGACGAAACGCGAGGCCUGGAU
rnacentral:hammerhead_ribozyme from 1 species